rnacentral:rRNA from 1 species
UAAGGAAUAUUGGUCAAUGGACGCAAGUCUGAACCAGCCAUGCCGCGUGAAGGAUGAAGGUCCUCUGGAUUGUAAACUUCUUUUAUGGGGGACGAAACCUGGGUAUUCCUACCCAGUUGACGGUACCCCAGGAAUAAGCACCGGCUAACUCCGUGCCAGCAGCCGCGGUAAUACGGAGGGUGCAAGCGUUAUCCGGAUUCACUGGGUUUAAAGGGUGCGUAGGCGGGCAGGUAAGUCAGUGGUGAAAUCCCCGUGCUUAACAUGGGAACUGCCGUUGAUACUAUCUGUCUUGAAUGCCGUGGAGAUGAGCGGAAUAUGUCAUGUAGCGGUGAAAUGCUUAGAUAUGACAUAGAACACCGAUUGCGAAGGCAGCUCGUUACACGAACAUUGACGCUGAGGCACGAAAGCGUGGGGAUCAAACAGGAUUAGAUACCCUGGUAGUCCACGCCCUAAACGAUGGAUACUCGACAUACGCGAUACACGGUGUGUGUCUGAGCGAAA